rnacentral:rRNA from 1 species
CAAGGUAGAGCCGGGAGAAGAGAGGGUUGGGAGGGGGGAAGUGGCGGCGGCGGUGGGGGGGCGGCGCUCGAGGCGGCGGGGUUAGAGGGGCGCCGUCGGUACCGCUUGUACGUCCUCAGCGAGCGGGACCACCCGUGCUACGCGCCGGUGUUGCUGCACCACUGCCGCUAGCGGCGCGGCUAGCUGUUGAGCGGGAUGUAGCACAGGCCGAGGGCGCUGUUCAGCGACGACCAGACCCUGGAGUGGUUGGGCCACGGCAGGGAGCCGCUGCCGUGGCAGCCGUGGCUGAUGCGGCACGGGAAGGCGGCGGAGUGGCCGGUGCCGGUGAAGCAGGUCCUGCACCAGUAGUCGAGGCUGCCGGUCAAGCGCGAGAGGCCGAGGACCCUGCCGCUCGAGGCGGAGACCCUGGAGAGGUGACCGGAGUGGUGGGCGGCGAAGCAGCCGGUGUGGUUCCUGCAGUAGAGCCAGCGGAAGAGGCAGCUGUUGGCGGUCUAGCAGAGGCGGAGGGCGCUGUUGUGGUAGUUCGAGACCUUGUGGGAGCCGCUCACGUUCAUGUGGUAGCCGCCGCUGUACCCGCCGCCGCUCCCGGUGUGGCCGACCCAGAGCACGCAGUCCAAGAGGGGGUUGUAGGUCGUCGGGUGGUAGCAGAGGCCGAGGACCCUGUUCUGGCAGUUCCAGACCUUAGAGUGGUUGACGUUCGAGGCGAGGUGGGAGCGGCCGGUGCCACCGAUGCACUUGCGGCAGCGGCAGUCGGGGCUACCGAGCGAGACGCGGAGGCCGCCGUUCCUGCCGCAGUGCGACGAGACCCUGGACAGGCUCCCCUUCUCCGACAUGGUCGACCUUCGGCCGAGGUAGUAGGUACGCGAGACGAAGAGCGGGUUGGCGAUGACCGAGACGCGACGCUGUCUCCUCAGACAGUUCUAGACCCUGGAGCUCAGGUUCGUACAGCACGUCCUGGAGUUCGGUCUUCACGUCCAGAGGUUCUUGGUCUACGACAUGACGUGUUCGAACUCGACCUCGCGCCUGCCUUCGUGGGAGAUGUGGCCUAUGUGGCUGCCCUGGUAGUCCCAGAAGUUCUAGGUUCGGCCCAAGCGGCCUAUGCGCAUCCCCAGAACGACCGGUCUCUCCAACAUUACGGGCAGUUCAAAAACUGACAAGACUCCGUUGUAACAGACGGACCAUGAAAGUCGAACUCAAUGACAAAUGAAAGACGAAUCCACUAAACAACUACUCGUGUAAUACUCCAUGAUACCUUCUGCUAGACAAAGCGUGGUCCCAAAAACGACGAAAGUUAUAUGACGGUUGAGAAAUCGGCGCGG